GCCCCCAUAGUUUUAGUGGUUAAAAUAAUCGCCUUGUAAGCGAUAGUCGCGGGUUCAAAUCCUCGCUGGGGGCU
rnacentral:tRNA from 1 species